rnacentral:rRNA from 1 species
GCAGUCGAGCGGUAGAGAGAAGCUUGCUUCUCUUGAGAGCGGCGGACGGGUGAGUAAUGCCUAGGAAUCUGCCUGGUAGUGGGGGAUAACGCUCGGAAACGGACGCUAAUACCGCAUACGUCCUACGGGAGAAAGCAGGGGACCUUCGGGCCUUGCGCUAUCAGAUGAGCCUAGGUCGGAUUAGCUAGUUGGUGGGGUAAUGGCUCACCAAGGCGACGAUCCGUAACUGGUCUGAGAGGAUGAUCAGUCACACUGGAACUGAGACACGGUCCAGACUCCUACGGGAGGCAGCAGUGGGGAAUAUUGGACAAUGGGCGAAAGCCUGAUCCAGCCAUGCCGCGUGUGUGAAGAAGGUCUUCGGAUUGUAAAGCACUUUAAGUUGGGAGGAAGGGCAGUAACCUAAUACGUUGCUGUCUUGACGUUACCGACAGAAUAAGCACCGGCUAACUCUGUGCCAGCAGCCGCGGUAAUACAGAGGGUGCAAGCGUUAAUCGGAAUUACUGGGCGUAAAGCGCGCGUAGGUGGUUUGUUAAGUUGGAUGUGAAAUCCCCGGGCUCAACCUGGGAACUGCAUUCAAAACUGACAAGCUAGAGUAUGGUAGAGGGUGGUGGAAUUUCCUGUGUAGCGGUGAAAUGCGUAGAUAUAGGAAGGAACACCAGUGGCGAAGGCGACCACCUGGACUGAUACUGACACUGAGG